GACGAACCGUGCGAACGUUGUUCGGAAUCACUGGGCUUAAAGGGCGCGUAGGCGGCUUCCCAAGCCCGGGGUGAAAUCUUUCGGCUUAACCGGAAAAGGGCUUCGGGGACUGGGGGGCUAGAGGGAGGUAGGGGCAAGCGGAACUUCCGGUGGAGCGGUGAAAUGCGUUGAUAUCGGAAGGAACGCCGGCGGCGAAAGCGGCUUGCUGGACCUCAUCUGACGCUGAUGCGCGAAAGCUAGGGGAGCGAACGGG
rnacentral:rRNA from 1 species